rnacentral:lncRNA from 1 species
CAAUGCUUAAGUGGGACCAUGGCCUGCCAUCUGCACCCCUGCUUGCCCGCCUGCUACCCCCAGCUAGUCCUGGCUAUCCCCGGCCCCUGCUACUGGGGGGCCAGGGUGGACAGGUUCAGCUGCUUCACAUAGCAGGUCAGCCUGGCAGGUGGGGGGUAGGGUGGGGUGGGAGCUUAUGGAGACAUGCUAGUGCUGGCACUGGUAUGCCUAGCUCUCUGUCCUUUCUCCAGGAGAGGGGACUUCCAUUCCCCAGCUGGCAGGACCUCCUCAGUCUCUGCCCUCCAUCACCGACUCCCUCUCUGCCUUUCCCCUGCUGGAACCCAAGAGGCAGCAGCAGCUGCAGGAACGUCUGGAGGCGCCGGUCAUAGGUCUGGCCGCUGCCCCGCCCUGUGCCUCUGCGCCAGGCCUGUUGCUC